AUUGAACGCUGGCGGCAGGCCUAACACAUGCAAGUCGAACGAGGGGCGGACGGGUGAGUAAUGUCUGGGAACCGCCCUGAUGGAGGGGGAUAACUACUGGAACCGGUAGCAAAUACGGCAUACCAUAGGGUGUGCCCCGAUGGGAUUAGCUAGUAGGUGGGGUAAAGGCGCACCUGGGCGACGAUCCCUAGUUGGUCUGAGAGGAGGACCAGCCACACUGGAACUGAGACACGGGCCAGACUCCUACGGGAGGCAGCAGUGGGGAAUAUGGCACAAGGGGCGCAAUCCUGAUGCAGCCAUGCCGCGUGUAUGAAGAAGGCCUUCGGGUUGUAAAGGACUUUCAGCGGGGAGGCGGUACCCGCAGAAGAAGCACCGGCUAACUCCGUGCCAGCAGCCGCGGUAAUUC
rnacentral:rRNA from 1 species